rnacentral:rRNA from 1 species
UGGGGAAUAUUGGACAAUGGGCGCAAGCCUGAUCCAGCAAUGCCGCGUGGGUGAAGAAGGUCUUCGGAUCGUAAAGCCCUUUCGACAGGGACGAUGAUGACGGUACCUGUAGAAGAAGCCCCGGCUAACUUCGUGCCAGCAGCCGCGGUAAUACGAAGGUCCCAAGCGUUGUUCGGAUUUACUGGGCGUAAAGAGUCUGUAGGCGGCGGGGUAAGUCAGAUGUGAAAUCCCGGGGCUCAACCCCGGAACUGCAUCCGAUACUGCCUUGCUAGAGUAUUGGAGGGGAGCCUGGAAUUCUCGGUGUAGCAGUGAAAUGCGUAGAUAUCGAGAGGAACACUAGUGGCGAAGGCGAGGCUCUGGACAAUUACUGACGCUGAGAGACGAAGGUCAGGGGAGCGAAAA